UACGUAGGGUGCUAGCGUUGUUCGGAAUCAUUGGGCGUAAAGCGCGUGUAGGCUGCUAGGAAAGUCGAUUGUGAAAUCCCUGGGCUCAACCCCGGACUUGCAGUGGGUACGGGCAGACUAGAGUGUGGUAGGGGAGACUGGAAUUCCUGGUGUAGCGGUGAAAUGCGCAGAUAUCAGGAGGAACACCGAUGGGGAAGGGCGGUCUCUGGGCCACUACUGGCGCUGAGAAGGGAAAGCAUGGGGAGCGAACAGG
rnacentral:rRNA from 1 species